GAUGAACGCUGGCGGCGUGCCUAAUACAUGCAAGUCGAGCGAACGGACGAGAAGCUUGCUUUUCUGAUGUUAGCGGCGGACGGGUGAGUAACACGUGGAUAACCUACCUAUAAGACUGGGAUAACUUCGGGAAACCGGAGCUAAUACCGGAUAAUAUUUUGAACCGCAUGGUUCAAAAGUGAAAGACGGUCUUGCUGUCACUUAUAGAUGGAUCCGCGCUGCAUUAGCUAGUUGGUAAGGUAACGGCUUACCAAGGCAACGAUGCAUAGCCGACCUGAGAGGGUGAUCGGCCACACUGGAACUGAGACACGGUCCAGACUCCUACGGGAGGCAGCAGUAGGGAAUCUUCCGCAAUGGGCGAAAGCCUUACGGAGCAACGCCGCGUGAGUGAUGAAGGUCUUCGGAUCGUAAAACUCUGUUAUUAGGGAAGAACAUAUUUGUAAGUUACUGUGCACAUCUUGACGGUACCUAAUCAGAAAGCCACGGCUAACUACGUG
rnacentral:rRNA from 1 species